CCGAAAGGGCCCAAAAGACUACAUUUACCCAGCUGCGGCGGUGAUGAGGGAGGCCAGCAGCGGGAGAGGGAACACCGCCCCGCCCCCCUCGCGGCUACAGCAUGCCUCACGAAGGGACUACAGGUGUCUAAAGGAGUGUAGUGCCCAAUCACGAUGGAAGGAACAUAGAGCAGCUAUUGAUACAGAGAGGUGGGCAGAGGAAUCGCAGAAACCGAUCCUGGCUCCGAAUACAACCGCAGUCGUGGGAGACUCCAAAUCGGAUUUUGGCUCUGGUGACACAAGCGGAAUCCAGCUGUUGGCUUGAUGCAGCUGCCGCGGUUUCCUUCUCUCGUUUUGCUCUUGCGUUCCCCUCGCUGCCUCCGUGAGGGUUUGCCUGCCAUUAAUGGCAGGAGUCCAUUUGGCUGCAGCCUCCAGCACUGCAGUUGUGCAAAAAAAGAGGCAGGGAGAGGGAGAACAGGCCAGCUGCCGACAGCAAGCCUUUGAUGAGUUGUCUGCUGCUUUGCCAUCGGUAUUAAUAGAUGGCCACAUUCUGCUUUCAGAGGGACCAUGGCAAACAACCAUAGAUUUUUCGGGGGGUGUUAUUCAGAGAUUUCUUUCUUCCCCACACAGGGAGGGAGUUCAGUGAAAUGGCAAGAGGCUAUCCCAGACUCUCUACUGCUUUCUAGAGAGGAAGGAGUGGUGGAGGAGCGCUGGUCCUGUGGUGAGAGGCAGGAAUUGCCCCCUUUGCUAAGCAGGGCCCACUCUGGUUUGCAUUUGAAUGGGAGACAUGUGAGAGUACUGUAAAACAUUCCCCUGAGAGGAGGGGGCCACUCUGGGAAGAGCACCUGCAUAUUUGCCUGCCGAAGAUCCCAAGUUCCUUUCCUGGUGUCUCCAACAUAGGGCUGAUAGAAACUCCUGCCUGCAACCUUGGGAGAAGCUGCU